rnacentral:rRNA from 1 species
GAUGAACGCUGGCGGCGUGCUUAACACAUGCAAGUCGAACGAAGCACUCUAUUUGAUUUCCUUCGGGACUGAUUAUUUUGUGACUGAGUGGCGGACGGGUGAGUAACGCGUGGGUAACCUGCCUUGUACAGGGGGAUAACAGUUGGAAACGGCUGCUAAUACCGCAUAAGCGCACAGCAUCGCAUGAUGCAGUGUGAAAAACUCCGGUGGUAUAAGAUGGACCCGCGUUGGAUUAGCUAGUUGGUGAGGUAACGGCCCACCAAGGCGACGAUCCAUAGCCGAUCUGAGAGGGUGACCGGCCACAUUGGGACUGAGACACGGCCCAAACUCCUACGGGAGGCAGCAGUGGGGAAUAUUGCACAAUGGGCGAAAGCCUGAUGCAGCGACGCCGCGUGAGCGAAGAAGUAUUUCGGUAUGUAAAGCUCUAUCAGCAGGGAAGAUAAUGACGGUACCUGACUAAGAAGCACCGGCUAAAUACGUG